UCAUGAAGACAUCAAAUAAACCCUGGAAGU
rnacentral:piRNA from 1 species